rnacentral:rRNA from 1 species
UUGGAUUUCUGUUGAAGUCAGCCGGUGCACACUUCGUGUGUUAUUUGGCCUGGCUUUGGCAUCCUCUGGGGGAACGUCUCUGGCCUUAAUUGGACAGGGCGAGAUUCCAGACUUUUACUUUGAGGAAAUUAGAGUGUUCACAGCUGGCAAGUGCUUUGAAUACAUUAGCAUGGAAUAAUAAUAUAGGACCUUCGUUCUAUUUUGUUGGUCUCUAGGACUUAGGUAAUGAUUAAUAGGGACAAUUGGGGGCAUUCGUAUUAACGCGUCAGAGGUGGA